GGAGAGAUGGCUCAGUGGUUAAGAGCACUGACUGCUCUUCCAGAGGUCCUGAGUUCAAAUCCCAGUAACCACG
rnacentral:tRNA from 1 species